AUUGAACGCUGGCGGAAUGCUUUACACAUGCAAGUCGAACGGCAGCACGGGGCAACCUGGUGGCGAGUGGCGAACGGGUGAGUAAUACAUCGGAACGUGCCCAGUCGUGGGGGAUAACGUAGCGAAAGUUACGCUAAUACCGCAUACGAUCUAAGGAUGAAAGCGGGGGAUCGCAAGACCUCGCGCGAUUGGAGCGGCCGAUGUCAGAUUAGGUAGUUGGUGGGGUAAAGGCCCACCAAGCCGACGAUCUGUAGCUGGUUUGAGAGGACGACCAGACACACUGGGACUGAGACACGGCCCAGACUCCGACGGGAGGCAGCAGUGGGGAAUUUUGGACAAUGGGCGCAAGCCUGAUCCAGCCAUUCCGCGUGCAGGAUGAAGGCCUUCGGGUUGUAAACUGCUUUUGUACGGAGCGAAAAGGCUCUCUCUAAUACAGGGGGCUCAUGACGGUACCGUAAGAAUAAGCACCGGCUAACUACGUGCCAGCCGCCGCGGUAAAAC
rnacentral:rRNA from 1 species